AUUGAACGCUGGCGGCAGGCCUAACACAUGCAAGUCGAACGAGUGGCGGACGGGUGAGUAAUGUCUGGGAAACUGCCUGCUGGAGGGGGAUAACUACUGGAAACGGUAGCUAAUACCGCAUACCAUCAGAUGUGCCCAGAUGGGAUUAGCUGGUUGGUGGGGUAACGGCGCACCAAGGCGACGAUCCCUAGCUGGUCUGAGAGGAUGACCAGCCACACUGGAACGGAGACACGGUCCAGACUCCUACGGGAGGCAGCAGUGGGGAAUAUUGCACAAUGGGCGCAAGCCUGAUGCAGCCAUGCCGCGUGUGUGAAGAAGGCCUUCGGAUUGUAAAGUACUUUCAGUUGGGAGGCGUUACCAGCAGAAGAAGCACCGGCUAACUCCGUGCCAGCAGCCGCGGUAAUUC
rnacentral:rRNA from 1 species